GUGAGCUGGGGAGGGGAUAGAGAAAAGAAAAAGAAAGAAACAAAAGCCGUUUCUCCCCAAGUGCUUUGCCAUUGAUAGCUGAUAUGCUUGGCUGCCAUUCAGUCCCUCGCUGUCUCCUGUGUCUCUGUACCUGCCUUUUGCACACAUAAUUAAUUGUGUGUUUUCAAAAAUGGCACAUCAUUCCUCCAUAUACAACAACAAACUCAGUCCAGAGACAAAUUGAAUCAAGUUCUCUGGGUGUUUUUUUUUCUCACUUCAAUUAACACGAAGACUGGCAUAUAUCAGAGGUGCAAAUCUCCUAGCGUUAUGUGACCACAAGCAGGGAUGCAGC
rnacentral:lncRNA from 1 species